UGAGGACUCCCAGAGGAAGCCACGGCUAACUUCGUGCCAGCAGCCGCGGUAAGACGAAGGUGCCGAGCGUGUUCGGGAUCACUGCGCUUAAAGAGCACGUAGACGCUCUGUCAAGCGUCUUGUGAAAGCCCUCGGCUCAACCGGGGAAUGGCUUGGCGAACUGGCAGACUUGAGGCAGGUAGGGGCAGUUGGAACUCUUGGGGGACCGGUGGAAUGCGUAGAUAUCAAGAGGAACGCCAGAGGCGAAGGCGAACUGCUGGGCCUGUCCUGACGCUGAGGUGCGAAAGCCAGGGUAGCGAACGGGAUUAGAUACCCCGGUAGUCCUGGCCCUAAACGAUGUCCACUAGAUCGAGGAUUCUCUGAAGGAUUCUUGGUCGAAAUGAAAACGUUAAGUGGACCGCCUGGGGAGUACGGUCGCAAGGCUAAAACUCAAAGGAAUUGACGGGGGCUCACACAAGCGGUGGAGCAUGUUGCUUAAUUCGAUGCAACGCGAAGAACCUUAUCCUGGGCUUGACAUGCUGNGAUGCCCAUCUGGAAACAGAGUAGNCUGCCCUUCGGGGUGAAACUUGCACAGGUGCUGCAUAGCUGUCGUCAGCUCGUGUCGUGAGAUGUCGGG
rnacentral:rRNA from 1 species